AAAAUACUAGUAACCAAUGAUUACACUGCCUUGUCAAGGCAGAAUUGUGGGUUGAAGCCCCACGUGUUUUG
rnacentral:tRNA from 1 species